rnacentral:rRNA from 1 species
CCUACGGGAGGCAGCAGUGAGGAAUAUUGGUCAAUGGGCGCGAGCCUGAACCAGCCAAGUAGCGUGAAGGAUGACUGCCCUACGGGUUGUAAACUUCUUUUAUAAAGGAAUAAAGUGAGGCACGUGUGCCUUUUUGUAUGUAUUUUAUGAAUAAGGAUCGGCUAACUCCGUGCCAGCAGCCGCGGUAAUACGGAGGAUCCGAGCGUUAUCCGGAUUUAUUGGGUUUAAAGGGAGCGUAGAUGGGUUGUUAAGUCAGUUGUGAAAGUUUGCGGCUCAACCGUAAAAUUGCAAUUGAUACUGGAAGCCUUGAGUGCAGUUGAGGUAGGCGGAAUUCGUGGUGUAGCGGUGAAAUGCUUAGAUAUCACGAAGAACUCCGAUGGCGAAGGCAGCUUACUAAACUGCCACUGACAUUGAUACUCGAAAGUGUGGGUAUCAAACAGGAUUAGAUACCCUGGUAGUC